UACGUAGGGUGCGAGCGUUGUCCGGAAUUAUUGGGCGUAAAGAGCUCGUAGGCGGCCUGUCACGUCGGAUGUGAAAGCCCGGGGCUUAACCCCGGGUCUGCAGCCGAUACGGGCAGGCUGGAGUUCGGUAGGGGAGACUGGAAUUCCCGGUGUAGCGGUGAAAUGCGCAGAUAUCAGGAGGAACACCGAUGGCGAAGGCAGGUCUCUGGGCCGAUACUGACGCUGAGGAGCGAAAGCGUGGGGAGCGAACGGG
rnacentral:rRNA from 1 species